UACCAGCACCCCGAGUGGUCGGGGACGAUUAUUGGGCCUAAAGCAUCCGUAGCCGGUUUUACAAGUCCCCCGUUAAAUCCAGCUGCUUAACAGAUGGGCUGCGGAGGAUACUAUAAGACUAGGAGGCAGGAGAGGCAAGCGGUACUCAGUGGGUAGGGGUAAAAUCCGUUGAUCCAUUGAAGACCACCAGUGGCGAAGGCGGGCUUGCC
rnacentral:rRNA from 1 species